ACUGCUUCGGAGUUAGUGGCGGACGGGUGAGUAACACGUGGGAACGUGCCUUUAGGUUCGGAAUAACUCAGGGAAACUUGUGCUAAUACCGAAUGUGCCCUUCGGGGGAAAGAUUUAUCGCCUUUAGAGCGGCCCGCGUCUGAUUAGCUAGUUGGUGAGGUAAAGGCUCACCAAGGCGACGAUCAGUAGCUGGUCUGAGAGGAUGGUCAGCCACAUUGGGACUGAGACACGGCCCAAACUCCUACGGGAGGCAGCAGUGGGGAAUCUUGCGCAAUGGGCGAAGGCCUGACGCAGCCAUGCCGCGUGAAUGAUGAAGGUCUUAGGAUUGUAAAAUUCUUUCACCGGGGACGAUAAUGACGGUACCCGGAGAAGAAGCCCCGGCUAACUUCGUGCCAGCAGCCGCGGUAAUAUGAAGGGGGCUAGCGUUGCUCGGAAUUACUGGGCGUAAAGGGAGCGUAGGCGGACAUUUAAGUCAGGGGUGAAAUCCCGGGGCUCAACCUCGGAAUUGCCUUUGAUACUGGGUGUCUUGAGUAUGAGAGAGGUGUGUGGAACUCCGAGUGUAGAGGUGAAAUUCGUAGAUAUUCGGAAGA
rnacentral:rRNA from 1 species